AGCAGUGGGGAAUUUUGGACAAUGGGCGAAAGCCUGAUCCAGCAAUGCCGCGUGCAGGAAGAAGGCCUUCGGGUUGUAAACUGCUUUUGUACGGAACGAAACGGUCUGCUUUAAUACAGUGGGCUAAUGACGGUACCGUAAGAAUAAGCACCGGCUAACUACGUGCCAGCAGCCGCGGUAAUACGUAGGGUGCGAGCGUUAAUCGGAAUUACUGGGCGUAAAGCGUGCGCAGGCGGUUAUAUUAGACAGUUGUGAAAUCCCCGGGCUCAACCUGGGAAUUGCAUCUGUGACUGUAUAGCUAGAGUACGGUAGAGGGGGAUGGAAUUCCGCGUGCAGCAGUGACAUGCCUACACAUGCAGAGGAACACCGAUGGCGAAGGCAUCCCCUGGACCUGUACUGAAUCUCAUG
rnacentral:rRNA from 1 species